rnacentral:rRNA from 1 species
UCCGUAGGGAGCAAGCGUUGUCCGGAUUUAUUGGGCGUACAGCGCACGCCGGCGGUUUAGUCAGGCUCUACUGACAGUGUCCGGCUCAACCGGGCAAGUGGUAGGGAAACUGCUAAACUUGAGGGCUUCAGAGGGAUGGGGAACUCCAGGUGGAGUGGUGAAAUGCGUAGAUAUCUGGAAGAACACCAAUGGCGAAGGCACCAGCCUGGGAAGCAUCUGACGCUCAGGUGCGAAAGCUAGGGGAGCGAACGGG